UACGUAGGGUGCAGGCGUUAAUCGGAAUUACUGGGCGUAAAGCGUGCGCAGGCGGUUUCUUAAGUCAGAUGUGAAAGCCCCGGGCUUAACCUGGGAACUGCGUUUGAAACUGGGAGACUUGAGUGUGGCAGAGGGGGGUGGAAUUCCGCGUGUAGCAGUGAAAUGCGUAGAUAUGUGGAGGAACACCGAUGGCGAAGGCAGCCCCCUGGGUUAACACUGACGCUCAUGCACGAAAGCGUGGGGAGCAAACAGG
rnacentral:rRNA from 1 species